UCUCAAACACGGCUUCUCAAACACGGCUUCUCAUCCGUGUCAUUCAAAAACCCUAAUUCUAUCAAACACAAAAACUCUCAUCUAGGUAUCUUUAUCAUCUUCAACAUGCUUUCAGAUCUUGAAGAUCCAUCCAAUUCUCCUUUUCCUUCGUUUAUCCCUUUUCAUUAUCAUCGAUUUUCUUUUGUCUUCCCCUUUCAUAAUCCUCUGUAAACCCUAGAGGAGUCUACACCAGUUCUUCGAGGUUACUGAUUCAAUCUGAUGGAAUGAUGGAUCUUUAUUCAGGCAUUUGGAGAGAGGGAAAUGGUCGAUAUAUGACAAUAAGAGAGAGGGAGUGAGUGUUACAGAUAGAGACGGUGGUGGCUGUUGUUGCGACACCACUCGCCACCGGCGACGAGGAUGACCAUCGGUGGUCAAGGGUUUAGAAUAGCGGUCUCGCUUAUGACCACAGUGGCCUCCGGGGACGAGGAUGACCACAGUGGCCUUCGUUCAUUUUUAGUUCGUAUUUUUGGUGGGUUUAUGGCUUGGGGACUGAUCUAGCAAAAUUCUAUUCGUAUUUUUAGGGUUUUGAGUUUACAUGAUUAUAUUUGUCGAAGUAAAGAAUUAGUGACUAAAAGGUCCGUUGUGUUUUCUUUCUGGUGAAUGUAGAGUCUUCGUAAUUGACAGACGACCAAAUCGAUGGAAUUAGUUAUCCGGAGGUUAUGUUCUUGCUUCCAGAAUGCUUAAUAGUACUGCGGGUUUGUGGAUGAUUUCUGUUCAUUUGUUCAUUUUGGAUUUGAACAUCUCAUAACGGUUUCUUGCUGGAAGUAUAGUAUAUUGUGGAAGUCGACUCUCUUCAAUACUCUCACCAAGUUAUCAAUACCUGCUGGGAACUUUCCAUUUUGUAUAAUUGAACCUAAUGAAGCGCGUGUCAACAUUCCUGAUGAGUGGUUUGAAUGGCUCUGUCAACUGUUCAAGCCAAAGAGUGAGGUUUCUGCAUUUUUAGAGAUACAUGACAUUGCUGGGUUGGUGAAAGGUGCUCAUGAAGGACAAGGGCUUGGAAACAAUUUCUUAUCACACAUUCGUGCCGUUGAUGGCAUAUUCCAUGUUCUAUGUAAGAUUGCAUUUAUAUAAUCUUUCUGAAAUAGUUAUGUUAGGUCAUCUGAAAAUUGUUUGUCAUACAUAUAAUCAAAGUGCUACAGGUUCAUACAUAUCAUUGAUUUCCUCUAAUUUUAGUUAUAUGCUUUCAAAAGUUAGUUGUUCACGGGUGGUUGUUUAGAUCUUAUGAUCGGGUUUAACGUAGAUGGCAGUAUAUUAAUUAAAUUUGCUUUCCCAUUUUGUUAUACCCAACUGAUUGUUUCAAAGCAUGAACAAGUGUUGUGAUUAGGUACUACAAUCACAAUUUUGAGGACCAUUAUCACAGCUACAUGGCUGGUUCUGGUAAUCUUCUUAGCAACCUCUUCCCACGUUGUAGAAUUUGUAAUGUGUAAUGAUUGCAGCAACAAAUACAUGAAUUAGGGUCUUAGUUAACAUUUUUUUAAUAGCAAAGAUUAUACUAUAUUACUCCUCACCCCAAGAGGAAAACCAUCUUAGUUAACAAUUGGAUUACUAAUACGGUGUCUUUUAAAUGCAGUUUUGAUGCUAAUUUUACCCAUGUCUGUAGAGCUUUAGAAAGGGCAUUUACAAAACCUUUAGUAGCUCUAAAGAUUCUAUACAUUGGAAUACACUUGGGAUGACUGUUGACCCAUUUGGCCCGUUAAGAGAUAAUGCAAAGUUCCAUGAGAUAUAUUCUGGUUCUUGGAAUGACGUCUGAUGGCGGGCAUAUGCCUUUUAGAAACUCUCUUGAUGGAAAUUUAGAUGUGGAGCCUUUGUUAUGCACAUAUUAUUGGCCCAUAGCAUGGCAGCAGCUCAAAGUGGGUACUUUCUGUAACGGGUCAGUCAGGUUGACCCUUAAAAAAUUUGUUUUCUUUAUAUUGUUUCUGAUAAUUAGCGCGUACAAUCAAUAAUAUGGUUUCUAGAUGUGGCAGAAUGGGUCGGACUGCAGGUCAACGUGAGUGCUUUUUGGUACGGGUCAGUCAAGUUGACCUUAAAACAAUUUGUGAUCUAUAUAUUGUUACAGAUAGUUAAUGUGUACAUGAGUAUAUCCAACAAUACGGGUUCUAGAUGUAGCAAAAUGGGUCCUUUUGGUAUGGGUAGGUCAGGUUGACCCUUAAAACAAUUAUUGUUCUAUAUUAUUGUUGCAGAUAGUAAACGUGUACAAUCAAUACUAUGGUUUUUAGUUGUGGCAAGAUGGGUGGUUGGGCAGCAGGUCAAAGUGCGUACUUUUUUGUACAGGUCGGUCAGGUUGACAGUUAAAACAGUUAGUUUUCUUUAUAUUUUGUUACAGAUAAUUAACGUGUACAAUCCACAAUACAAGAGUGCAGCUGCAUUUCGGCCGCAUGCUCAUAGCCGGAACGAGGUGAGAUUGUUAAACAGAUCGGUGAUGCAUUGAGAUCCAAGCUCGAGUACCUUGGUCGGCUUUUAUCACUUGAGAUGGGAAAAAUUCUUCCAGAAGGAAUUGGGGAAGUUCAAGAAGUUAUUGACAUGUGCGACUUUGCAGUGGGGUUAAGCGGACAACUAAAUGGAUAAGUCAUACCCUCUAAACGUCUGUUGAAUAUGGACAAAGAUUAAAGUUGCAUCUUGAUUAUUCGAGAAUGCCUAUAAAAAAAAAGACACAUCACAUGGCAGCAGAUUAUUCGAGAAUGCCUAUAAAAAAAAAGACACAUCACAUGGCAGCAGAGCCAACAGUGGUGGUGGUUUGGAGUGUGUUCAUGCAUAAUUUUUGCUACAAGAUCACCUCAUGGCCCUUGCCCUAUUGCUCUUACGGUUGCUAAAUUAUUAUGCCAUCUACAUCUACAUGCUACAGGUACUACGUCAAUGCCACUAUAUUUUGAGUUGGAAGACUGUGAACGGAAAAUGAGGAGCUGAAUCAGAAUGGAGAAGAAAUUAAAUCAAUAGAUUUAUAUUGAAAAGUUUUUUCAUUACAAAGUUCAUAUCAAUGUUAGUAGAUAUUAUAUGUUUGUGUUAAGCCACCCGUGAAACUCGCGGGAUCUUAGACUAUAUGAAUUUAAAUAAGAAUUUAGAUAUUGAAGUUUAUAUAAACUUGAUGUCAAUCAAAAGAUGAAAACAGUGACCUUUCGUUGAUCUAUUAAAGGUUCGCUGGUAUGUAA